rnacentral:rRNA from 1 species
CAUGCAAGUCGAGCGGUCAAAAUGAGGGGGCUUGCCCCUGAAAGACGAGCGGCGGACGGGUGAGUAAUGCGCGGGAACGCGCCCUUUGGAGGGGGACAACCUUGGGAAACCAGGGCUAAUACCGCAUAACCUCCACGGAGCAAAGCGGGGGAUUUCUUCGGAAACCUCGCGCCAAAGGAGCGGCCCGCGUCCGAUUAGUUUGACGGCGGGGUAACAGCCCACCGUGACUACCAUCGGUAGCUGGUCUGAGAGGAUGAUCAGCCACACCGGGACUGAGACACGGCCCGGACUCCUACGGGAGGCAGCAGUGGGGAAUAUUGGACAAUGGGGGCAACCCUGAUCCAGCGAUGCCGCGUGUGUGAAGAAGGCCUUCGGGUUGUAAAGCACUUUCGCAGGGGAAGAAACGGUGCGCUCUAACAUAGCGCGCAACUGACGGUACCCUGAAAAGAAGCGCCGGCUAAUUCCGUGCCAGCAGCCGCGGUAAUACGGAAGGCGCAAGCGUUAAUCGGAAUGACUGGGCGUAAAGCGUGCGCAGGCGGCCGCGCAAGUCGGAUGUGAAAGCCCCGGGCUCAACCCGGGAACGGCGUUCGAAACUGCGCG